rnacentral:lncRNA from 1 species
GCCUACUUUUUUGGGUUCUGUAAGAGCUAUUUCCCCUGGUUAUGUAGAGAAAUUAGAUAAAUGAAGGAGCAAUGUCUAAACAAGUGAUCUUGGACGUCAUGGAACAGGGCCAGUCUAUGAAAAAUUUACCAGAGGUUCAACAGAGCAGCUCAGAAAACAACCCAAGUAAAGCCAAUAUAAAAAUAUUACAUAUUACUUAAAAAUGCAUUUUUUAAUUUAAAAUGUGACUUAUAUAACACCCUGAAAUAUAAAUAUAUAAAGCAUGUUGAAAUAAAAAUUUCCUGCUAUCAUAUCAAUUCCAGAAUUACUCUCAAGACAACCACACACAGGGCAUCAUGGAGAAAAGUCAGUGAGACCUUAAGAGGAUACGUUUUCAAAGAAGACGGCUUACCCAAUUGGAUGACUUGUGGUGACUUACAAGAUGACCCUGAAUGGUCUUUUGAGAGUUCAGAGAUUCAUUGAAGGGCAAGCAAAGGGUACAAACAGCUCGGAAGUAUAUACUUCAGUAUUUCAGUAACUGAAAUAAGUUAUUUUAUAGUUGUUGGAAUACUUAUUAAAAUGUCAUUUCCAAAUGGGAUAGUGUAUACUGUAAUUAUCAUUGAUAAAAGAUUCAUAAUUUCAAACUUGCAUUUUACUGCAGUAUUUGCUGUUGUAGAUAUAAAAUUCAAGUAAUAUGUUUUUCAAUAAAUAACUGUCCAACAUCUUGAUAAUACAUUUUCCAUAUAGAUUUGAUUCUAGGCUCUAUGCCAUAACAUAAGACAGAAUUUUUUAUCAUCUGGUUUUAGUCAGAGGACAUCAUGUAGAUGAGGAGGAAUGGAAACAAAGGAGACAGAGGAAGCGAGGUGUCUAUGUGAGCCCUUUAGUCAAACCCUUUGUAAUGCAAAAGUGAAGGUAAUUAUCUGUGAGAUUAUUACAUUUUUAGUCACUUGUCUAAGAACAUAACUUUAUUUACAUAUUUGUUUCUUCACAUGCAUUAUUUUCACUCAGACCUCUGAGAAAAAGAUACAAACGCAGACACUCACCAAGGAAACAGGAGAAGAGGCCCAUCAAGAUGACAGAAAUGGACAGGUACAUCUUUUUGGCAGAUUAAAUAAUGUAAAAAGCUGUGUCGCACUAACGUGGACCUUAAACAUUUCAUUUGGCAAAGCAGCAUGCAGAGACAUCUCUGGCAACCACCUUUCAAGAUGCUGCAUCUCAGCUAUCAACAUUGUGGCAAAAAGAGGACACAGAAGUGGUGGUAUCUGUGGUUCCUUCUCAAAUUAGCUUUGUUAUUCACCACAGUGAGCUGAGAUCACUACGCCCUCAUCAGUGGCUUACAGGAGAGGUACGAUGUGUUUUAGUGAAAAAUGAAUCCGUAAAUCCAUCCAUUUUCUAAACCGCUUAUUCCCUAACGCGGGGUCACAGGGGUGCUAACC